AGCGGCGACGGAAGAGAGCGUGCGUGCCAAUGGGGCUACGAAGACGGUGGCCGUGGCCGAGGACGGGCGAUAUCACCAGGGCGACAACAAUUACGGCGGCGGCAACAACUAUGGCGGCCUGCGGUGAGCGUAGCAACUACGGCGGCCGCGGCGGCCGAGGAGGAGGAGGAGGAGGCCAGAGUCAGCCGCCCCCGACAUGCACCAAGCCGCACUGCCGCAGGGCCUCCCCUCUUCGAGCGCUACCACGCAGAGGCAACACAGGAGUAAUGCUACAUCAACGGGGGAUUUUAAUACGGGGUUCACGGGCUAGAUGAGGUGGACCAGUAGAAUUGCAUAUUAGGAGGGGAAGGCCCCACAGCCCCUGAAAAUCAGGAGGGGCAGAGAGAUUUGUUUAGAAGUAAGCCUCGUAAAACGCCGAUGAUUGUCCGUGACUCUAGCAUUAUUGGGCAACACAGCUCGGGAAGAAGUUUCAGGCGAUGGACAUCAGUCGUGCCGCCGUAGAUCCAAUCGACCGGCGAUGGAGCAGUUAUUGGCAUUCCUCCGCGCGGCACCAGGUGCAUCACUCCUCCUCCACAAUCCUCUCCCCGCCUCGCGGUCCCUACCAUAAGCCUUGCAAGCCGCAACCUCCCAGAUCCUCCUCUCAACGCAUCUCCGCUUCCCCUGCGACGUUGCCGGCUUCACGAUCUCCACCAUGAUGGGAGUCACAAGCUUAAGGGAGUGCGUCGAGGCCAUGGCGAUGUUGCUCCCUUCCUACCGUCCUCACCGUGUUCCGCCACUUGCGGCAGGAAUCCAUGGUGCAGGCGGAGAAGCCUCCUGCCGAGGAGUGAUCCCUCCGUCAUAAGACGAGGUUCUUCAGUUACACUUACACACCCGCAGCUUAAAAUUUGUUCCUUUCUAUUUUUGCAGAUUUUGAAUUCAGUGUGGUAGAGAACACCCACAAAAUCAUCACAAGGAUUCAUGAACCUACUUUCGAAUGGAAGAAUGUGAUGUUCAAUUGCCAUUAACCCGAUCGAUCUCUUGCAUGGGGAAGGGGAGACCGAGGAGGAAAUGGCGACCAAGAGGUGCGCAGGCACCCUGGGUGACAAGGGCCUCAGGGGGGAGAAGGUGUUCCUUAGUGCCGAUCUGAACGUUCUGCUGGACGACGGCCUGAACAUCACUGGUGACAACCGCAUCCGCGCCUCCAUGCCGUCCAUCAAGUUCCUCAUGGGGAAGGGCGCCAAGGUUGUCCUGGUCAACCAUCUGGUGAGCGCACGCUUCUGCCAUUCAGUCAGCCUCCCGUGUGGCGCACGACUGUAGCUGCUUGAUGUCGUGAGCAACACCACUGGAUGGCCCAGCCACCCCUUCAUCUCAGACCUCGCUGAAGACUAACCAACUAGACGCAGAUCCAUUUGAUUCUACUAAGUGUCCCAGGCUGUGUAUGCUAGCCUCCUCCGCUACAUUUGCAGGCCGCCGAGUCCAACUCCUCUGCGGUGCAGAUCACCCGCCCACCGCGCUGCGCAACUCACGAUGCAGGCGGCCCUCCUCCACGGAUUGUAGGGAAAAGUGUGAACUAUGAAUUCAUACCAGAACUGGAUUGGCCAUGGCAUGUGUUCACCGACGAGUCAUGACGUCGACAACAAUAUUGAAGAUUUCCUGUUUCCUUUAUUUUCGAGCAUCUCUCAAAAGUAUAAUAUAUGCAGGUUCAUCAUUCAUGCGAGGGAUAUGAAAGAUGAAACAAAAGUAAAAGGUGUUUAUGCCUACGGGCUAUGGAGCAUCAUAAUGUUGGAGGAGUGUCGUGCCGAUUUUAUAAAUCCAGUAGCAUCCUACUACUCGCAGUUUUUGUGGUUCAAUCAAAUCAAUAGUACAAUUUUCAAACGAAAUAUGUAUAUGACAACCGUGUGGGAGAUUGUGAAACUGCCACACACAUCGAGCGCCAUCAGUUCCCUCCCGAUCUUCUUCCUUUCCUGCACGAUUUUCAGCAAAAAUAAUGCUUGAACUAGGAUUUGAUCUUUGGUCUGCAGGUAAUCAACAAAGGGAGCUAACCACUUCACCUAUGACACUCAUUGUUGAACAAGCUAAGGGAAAUACUGUUUUUGACAUGUUUUGCCUUUAAUAUGUUAGCACUGAAAAACUUUUUGUUUCAAGCAUCGUGGUAACUUUGAUCAUUGAGAAUAAAUUUGUUGAACCCGUCCCUCGGUAAUUUCUGUAAAUAGCACGAUAACAUUCACGCCAUAGACCUGAUAAUUUAGAUACAAAAAUCGUGGUAACUUUAACCAUUGGAAAGACAAAUGUGAAAAGAUACCAGAUAAUUUAUGUGUAAAUAGAUGCACAUAUGAUAAAUGAGGUAGAAACACCAUGGUAGUAACUUUAAUCGUAGGGAUUUUUUUUUGAAAAGAUACUCCGAUAUCUUCUGUGUAAAUAGCACGGCAGUAUACCUCCCU